CCUACGGGAUGCACCAGUGGGGAAUAUUGCACAAUGGGCGCAAGCCUGAUGCAGCCAUGCCGCGUGUAUGAAGAAGGCCUUCGGGUUGUAAAGUACUUUCAGCGGGGAGGAAGGCAUAAAGGUUAAUAACCUUUGUGAUUGACGUUACCCGCAGAAGAAGCACCGGCUAACUCCGUGCCAGCAGCCGCGGUAAUACGGAGGGUGCAAGCGUUAAUCGGAAUUACUGGGCGUAAAGCGCACGCAGGCGGUCUGUCAAGUCGGAUGUGAAAUCCCCGGGCUCAACCCGGGAACUGCAUCCGAAACUGGCAGGCUUGAGUCUUGUAGAGGGGGGUAGAAUUCCAGGUGUAGCGGUGAAAUGCGUAGAGAUCUGGAGGAAUACCGGUGGCGAAGGCGGCCCCCUGGACAAAGACUGACGCUCAGGUGCGAAAGCGUGGGGAGCAAACAGGAUUAGAUACCCCGGUAGUC
rnacentral:rRNA from 1 species